rnacentral:snRNA from 1 species
GGUCCUCCAUCUUUAUCUCCCCC